ensembl:lncRNA
ACGGAAGGAGGGCGGGGAAGCGGGAGGUGGAGCGGGAGGGGGGAGUCACUUUCUUCCUGCGUUGAAAAACGCACCCCCCACACCCCUCCCCGCUCCGUCCCCCGGGGCUGCGGAGGGAAACUUUGUGGCAGGCGGUCGGCGCCGGACAGGGGCGGCGGGCGCGCCGGCACCGCGGGAGCCUCCGAGCCUGCUGCUACCGAGUCCAGCCUCCCAAACAUGCGUGCGUGAAAGGUAAGCAGUAGCAUCCUUGUCUUGCGCCUAGGCAAGCUGAGAGACAGGAACAGAGUGACUUGCCCGAUGCAACUUCCUGCCACUU